rnacentral:lncRNA from 1 species
AUGGUGGACGCUGUGGGAAAGAGGCAGGAAUGGAGAAUGUGGUUAGCGAGAAGGCUGAGAGCACUUUGCAAACAUGAAUACAUGAUAAGACAUGAGUCCACAGGCGUGAGUAAAUCAGCAGGAACUUUCUCAGCUGGACUCUUCCUUGUUUUCUCCCUUGGCUCAUCAAGAACAGCAGGGAAGGGACUGGACUCCCCUUUCUUUCAAGCAUUACCUUACCAUCUGACUGCCACCCCUGGCACUUACAGUGGAAACUUGCCUCUUCCAUUUCUAACUAAAUAAAUAAUCUACUUUCAUUUUGGCGACUAGUCCAGUAUUUUUUUUUCCAUGAGGCUGGGUGAUGAGCCUUGCCCUGGUUUCUGAGAUCUCGUGUUCACGAGCCGUAAGCCAGGCCUCCUUUUUUUUCCCCUGGUUUUUUUCAAAGGAGAGGAAACCAAGGCAGGUAUUUAGCAAAGGUGGCCAAAAUGCUGAAGCUGUUGUUCUCAAAGUAUAUUCAACCAACCACUGACAUCAACAACAAUUUGAAGUGUGUAUUCAAAAUAACUUCGUCACCAACUCCCUACCAACCCCUGCCCCCGAGCCCCCGAGCCCCCGGGCCCCCACCUAAUCCGUGUCUUUGACAGCAGAGCCCAGGAAACUGCAUUUUUACUAAGUUCCCAGAGGACAGUCGUACAUUCUAAUCUGAAAGGCACUGGCCCAGACUGUCUGUAGGAAUCAGGCCAAGGACAGGACUUGAAGUCACAGACCUUCCGUCUACACUCCUCGGGGUAAGUAAGGAUAAAAUUAAUGCAGCAGGCAACCACGUGAAUGCUCUUUAGGCGUCUCCCAUCUGUAUCACAAGUAUUUGCUAAUUAUCUAUUAUGUGCAAAACCCAUGGCAGAAAGUAUUCAGAAAACCCCUCAAUUUAAAAAUUGCAUUAACCCCACUAUUUUUUUGUCUUCUAAAAUGAGGGAGCCAAAUAGAUGGAGUUGGAGGGUCUUCUAGCUCCAGUUUCUUACAUUUUGAAUUUGGCCAUGACCAUUUCCUAGGCAUACCUCAAAAAAAUUUUAAACACACCCAAAAACAACCUAACAGAUACCCACAUGUCAAAUGCUAAUAUCAAACACAUUUUUAACAUUUGGUAAUAUUUCCUUCAUACGUUUUUAAAAGAAACAAAUCUUUAUAAAUACAGUUGGAGUCCUCACUGCCAUCCCAUUUAGCUCCUUCCCUUCCUUCCUCCCCAGAAGUAAUGAUCCUAAAGCUAGUAUGUGUCCUUCACUGUGGUUUUAUUUAUUUUAAAACGAUUUAUUUAUUUAUUUAUUUAUUUAUUUAUUUAUUUAUUGAGAGAGAGAGAGCAUGUGGCCGUAAGCAGGUGCACGGGCAGAGUGAGAGAGAAUCUCAAGCAGACCCCCCCACUGAUUGUGGAGUCUGAGGUGGAGCUCAAUCCCAGGACCCUGAGAUCAUGACCUGAGCCGAAACCAAGAGUCAGCUGCUCAACCAACUGAGCCACCCAGGGGCUCUUCAGUUGUGGUUUUAUAAUUUAAAAGUAUAAUUUGCUGUAUAGUGUGUAUGUAUUAAACCAGUUAUGGAACUAUAUACCUAAAAAGAAAGAGAGAGAGACAGAAAUAACAGAAAUGCCAUGUAGCAUAUAUAUAUAUACCAUACUGUGUGGUUUCUGUUGUUUUUUAGGUACAGAGAGCCUUUCAUGCCUUUUUUGAUUCACAUUUAUAUUUCC